GCAAACUUGGUCAUUUAGAGGAAGUAAAAGUCGUAACAAGGUUUCCGUAGGUGAACCUGCGGAAGGAUCAUUACUGAGUGGCUCGGCCUUUAUGGCUGGUUACCCGACCUUUUGUCAUUCGCUCUGGGGGUUACCCGGGGCGCGGUUUCGGUCAAGAAACUCCCGAUAACAAGGGGGGGACGGGCCGAGCCGCGCACGGGCGACCUUCAGCAAUCAUAACUUCGGCGGAAGAGGUAGGCGUCGACCUGCCCGCCGCCGGCCGUAUUUUCCACUCUUGUGAGAAUCUGAAGCCUGUGAAAACAAAAGAAAUAAGAAAAGCAAAACUUUCAACAACGGAUCUCUUGGCUCUGGCAUCGAUGAAGAACGCAGC
rnacentral:misc_RNA from 1 species